rnacentral:rRNA from 1 species
UACGGAGGAUGCGAGCGUUAUCCGGAUUUAUUGGGUUUAAAGGGUGCGUAGGCGGGAUGCCAAGUCAGCGGUAAAAAUGCGGUGCUCAACGCCGUCGAGCCGUUGAAACUGGCGUUCUUGAGUGGGCGAGAAGUAUGCGGAAUGCGUGGUGUAGCGGUGAAAUGCAUAGAUAUCACGCAGAACUCCGAUUGCGAAGGCAGCAUACCGGCGCCCUAGUGACGCUGAGGCACGAAAGCGUGGGUAUCGAACAGG